AUCAGAAAAUACCAUUGGCUAGACUGCAUCGAGUUGUUGAUAAGAAGGGCAACACAUUGCUGCACCAUGUUGCAGAUAUGGAGCAUUACAGAGGAGGAACCAAGCCUGGACCUGCACAUCAACUUCAGGAUGAGUUGCAAUGGUUUGAGCAAGUUAGGGAGGUAAUUCCUUCUCAUUAUGUCACGCUUCGGAACGAGGAUGGCAUGACUGCAAGAGAACUCUUCUACGAGCAGCACAAGGAGCAACUGAACAGUGCACGAACGUGGAUCAAGGAAACAACUUAGUCUUGUUCCACAGUAGCUGCACUUGUUGCUACUUUUGUCUUUGCCGCUGCCUAUACUGUGCCUGGCGGUUCUGAUGAGAAUGGCAAGCCCAAUCUCAUCAAAUCUCCCUAUUUUCUGACUUUCGCUGUUGCGGAUGUUGACUCCCUAGCAUUCUCCUUGACUUCACUUACGGUGUUUCUCUCUUUGUUGACCUCUCGAUUUGAGCUGCAAGAUUUCCACAUCGCUCAUCCUCGAAAACUUACCGUUGGCUUCACCUUCCUCUUUUUAUCAAUGAUGACGAGCAUGCUAUCCUUUGGGUCAACAAUUUUAAUACUCGUUCAAUCAGGGACAAACUUAACAACAUUACUCCUUUCCGUUGCUUCAUUUCUUCCUGUCUUGGUAUUUACAAUAAUGCAAUUCCGUCUUUACGUCUCAUUUCUGGACUCUACCUACGACAUUCUCAAGAGAAACUGGAAAGCUCUGCCACGGUUUCUUGCCCCUUGCCUACCACGGGAGAGAAAGCUCCGUCGAUUUGAUUAAUAUGGGAGGUUUAACUGGCAUAGAGGUUAUUCCAUUUUCUUGAUGGUUUGAACCUGUUCCAUAGAUCAUUAUAUAUUGUGUUUUAUUGCAUGUAUGGUUGUUAUUCAUUUUCGUGAUAUUUAUGUGGCUGUGCUGUUUUCAAUGACGGCCUUGAAGCCAGUAUGUAUUAUAUAUAGUUUGUCACAGGUUGGUAUUU